GGUGUGAGAGUGCUGUGUGAGAUGGGUGUGAGAGAGUGCUCUGUGAGAGUGCUGUGAGAGAGUGCUGUGUGUGUGUGAAAGUGCUGUGUGUGAUGGGUGUGAGAGUGCUGUGUGUGUGUGAGUGCUCUGUGAGAGUGCGCUGUGUGUGAUGGUGUGAGAGUGCUGGGUGUGAGUGAUGGGUCUGAGAGUGCUGUGUGAGAGUGAUGUGUG